rnacentral:rRNA from 1 species
UAGAUGCGAGAGUAGAGCAUAUCAAUAAGCGGAGGAAAAGAAACUAACAAGGAUUCCCUUAGUAACGGCGAGUGAAGCGGGAAGAGCUCAAAUUUGAAAUCUUCAAGGUUCUACCUUGACGAAUUGUAGUUUAUAGAAGUGUUUUCUGUUAGUGGAGUGGCAAAAGUUCUUUGGAAUAGGACAUCAUAGAGGGUGAGAAUCCCGUAUUUGGUCAUUCCUCCUAGCGUUGUGAUACACUUUCAACGAGUCGGAUUGUUUGGGAAUGCAGUCCAAAAUGGGUGGUAAAUUUCAUCUAAAGCUAAAUAUUGGCGAGAGACCGAUAGCGAACAAGUACCGUGAGGGAAAGAUGAAAAGAACUUUGAAAAGAGAGUUAAACAGUACGUGAAAUUGUCAAAAGGGAAGCGUUUGACACCAGUGUUGUUUUUCCGAAAAUCAAUUACGAAUGUUUUAUUUUUGAGAGAGUUAUGACUUCAUCGGCUUGCUUCUCUCUUUAUGAAACUUUCUUAAUGCACUUUUCGGUUAACAAGUCAACAUCAAUUUCUUUUGUUGUAAAAGGGUAUGAGGAAGGUGGCUUUCUUUUCGGAGAAAGUGUUUAUAGCCUUGUACCUCUGCAAUCGGAGAGAUUGAGGUCUGCAAGCGUAGAUCCUUCGGGGUUAGAUACAUUUGUGCUAAGUUAUAGCUUUUCAUAGACAACUUGUUGACUAUGCUUAGUCUUGUAGCUUACUCGCUUAUGCUAUUUUACCUACGCUUAGGAUGUUGACACACGCGCGUGCUCG